rfam:Ricinus communis cultivar Hale ctg_1100012360146, whole genome shotgun sequence.
UUUAAGGGGAAUGUUGUCUGGUUCAAGGCCUACCUAUUGAUCUGUUUCAGUUUCAUUCAAUAUACUGAAAAAUCUGUAUAUGGGAAACUAUCCUGUGGUCGAUUUGAUCAUUUCUUAGGAUCUCCUCGGACCAGGCUUCAUUCCCCUUAAU